GGUCCCGUAGCUCAGUUGGUUAGAGCAUUGGUUUCAUGAGCCGAAGGUCGCGGGUUCGAGCCCCGCCGGGAUCA
rfam:Nelumbo nucifera unplaced genomic scaffold scaffold00152, whole genome shotgun sequence